rnacentral:rRNA from 1 species
AUUGAACGCUGGCGGCAGGCCUAACACAUGCAAGUCGAGCGCGUCGCGGACGGGUGAGUAAUGUGUGGGACACCCCCUGAUGGGGGGGGAUAUCCUCUGGACACGGUCGCUUACCCCGCAUUCCAUCGGAUGUGCCCAUAUGGGAUGAGCUUGUAGGUGGGGUAAAGGCUCACCUAGGCGACGAUCCCUCGCUGGUCUGAGAGGAUGACCAGCCACACUGGAACUGAGACACGGUCCAGACUCCUACGGGAGGCAGCAGUGGGGAAUAUUGCACAAUGGGCGCAAGCCUGAUGCAGCCAUGCCGCGUGUGUGAAGAAGGCCUUCGGGUUGUAAAGUACUUUCAGCGGGGAGGCGUUACCCGCAGAAGAAGCACCGGCUAACUCCGUGCCAGCAGCCGCGGUAAUUC